rnacentral:rRNA from 1 species
UACGGAGGAUGCAAGCGUUAUCCGGAUUGAUUGGGCGUAAAGCGUCUGUAGGUGGUUACGCUAGUCGGCUGUUAAAGAUCAGGGCUGAACCCUGAGCAAGCAGUCGAAACUGCGUGGCUGGAGUACGGUAGGGGCAGAGGGAAUUCCCGGUGUAGCGGUAAAAUGCGUAGAUCUCGAGAGGAACACCGGUUGCGAAGGCGGCUCUUUGGUCUGUAACUGACGCUCAAGUGCGAAAGCGUGGGGAGCAAACAGG